UACGUAGGGGGCAAGCGUUGUCCGGAAUCAUUGGGCGUAAAGCGCGUGUAGGCGGCUCGAUAAGUCUGCUGUGAAAGUCCAGGGCUCAACCCUGGGAUGCCGGUGGAUACUGUCGAGCUCGAGUCCGGAAGAGGAGUGUGGAAUUCCUGGUGUAGCGGUGAAAUGCGCAGAUAUCAGGAGGAACACCGGUGGCGAAGGCGGGUCUCGUGGGCCGUAACUGACGCUGAGGAGCGAAAGCAUGGGGAGCGAACAGG
rnacentral:rRNA from 1 species